rnacentral:rRNA from 1 species
UGGGGAAUUUUGGACAAUGGGCGAAAGCCUGAUCCAGCAAUGCCGCGUGUGUGAAGAAGGCCUUCGGGUUGUAAAGCACUUUUGUCCGGAAAGAAAUCCUUGGCUCUAAUACAGUCGGGGGAUGACGGUACCGGAAGAAUAAGCACCGGCUAACUACGUGCCAGCAGCCGCGGUAAUACGUAGGGUGCAAGCGUUAAUCGGAAUUACUGGGCGUAAAGCGUGCGCAGGCGGUUUGCUAAGACCGGUGUGAGAUCCCCGGGCUCAACCUGGGAACUGCAUUGGUGACUGGCAGGCUAGAGUAUGGCAGAGGGGGGUAGAAUUCCACGUGUAGCAGUGAAAUGCGUAGAGAUGUGGAGGAAUACCGAUGGCGAAGGCAGCCCCCUGGGCCAAUACUGACGCUCAUGCACGAAAGCGUGGGGAGCAAACAGGAUUAGAUACCCUGGUAGUCCACGCCCUAAACGAUGUCAACUAGUUGUUGGGGAUUCAUUUCCUUAGUAACGUAGCUAACGCGUGAAGUUGACCGCCUGGGGAGUACGGUCGCAAGAUUAAAACUC